CGGAAUAGCUCAGUUGGUAGAGCAGAGGAC
rnacentral:tRNA from 1 species